rnacentral:rRNA from 1 species
GACGAACGCUGGCGGCGUGCUUAACACAUGCAAGUCGAACGGAAAGGCCCUGCUUUUGUGGGGUGCUCGAGUGGCGAACGGGUGAGUAACACGUGAGUAACCUGCCCUUGACUUUGGGAUAACUUCAGGAAACUGGGGCUAAUACCGGAUAGGAGCUCCUGCUGCAUGGUGGGGGUUGGAAAGUUUCGGCGGUUGGGGAUGGACUCGGGGCUUAUCAGCUUGUUGGUGGGGUAGUGGCUUACCAAGGCUUUGACGGGUAGCCGGCCUGGGAGGGUGACCGGCCACAAUGGGCCUGAGGUACGGCCCAGUCUCCUACGGUAGGCAGCAGUGGGGAAUAUUGCCCAAUGGGCGGAAGCCUGAUGCAGCAACGCCGCGUUCGGGAUGACGUCCUUCGGGUUGUAAACCGCUUUCGCCUGUGACGAAGCGUUAGUGACGGUAAUGGGUAAAGAAGCACCGGCUAACUACGUG